UCGUACUGUCCUAGUGAUGCUCUUUACUGAUAGGUGCCACCAGCCAACAAUGAAUUCGAACUUAAUAUUUAUCAUUUAUUAUGUUGUCUAUACCUAAAACAUUCCAAGUUCUACCUGUCUCUAUUAGAUGGCACACGACUUCACUCUUCCGAAUCCCAAACUCCAUUUCUGUCCUCUGAAAAUAUUUUUGAAUAUUGUGGAUAGUUACCAAGGUGAUGUGAUAUGAUAAGCGGCUUUGCCUCUCUCUGCCUCAGCAAAUUGCGUUUAUGCAUUAUUUCUUAAUUGGAUUUGGUAUGCUGUAUGGCUAUUGCUUUUUCAUCACUUUGUAGAUCAUUUAAUAGUAGGUUUUAUACCUAUUUGGAAUAGAAACCUUCCUUUACUGGGGGUUUCUUCUGGAGAAUACCAACUCAGUCAGCUGAGAAAAGCUUCCGACUUCAGAAUUUGUUAUAUAAUAAGUUUGAUCGACUCCAGUAUCCGAAUCACCUUCGUCAGCCGAAUCCAAAGUAUUGGUACUAAUUGGCAGAAUCAUAUUUCUACAUUUCCUGAGAACUCCUCAUCUACUCCAUAUUCAUGUAACAGCGGAACAUUUUUUUUAUAAGAGCACUGCUACAAGUUGUCGUCAUCUCUUUAGGACAUUACCAAGAACUCCAAGCACCAUCAUACAUUGAGGGAAAUUAAGGCCAGAUUUUCGAUAUUUCCUGAUUCAUUAUUUUUUUAUUUGAUUACCGAUUAUUAGAUGAUAUUAUUUUCUCCUCCGUAACUGAUAAUGAAAAAUUAUUGGCACUGAUAUAUUUAUCAGAUGCAAGUCAUUUAAAAUAAUUACUUUGAAGAAUCAAUCUUAAUUUUUUUACAGCGAGUCAUUAGAAGACUCACACUUGUUACGCUGAACAUAGUACUAUGAACAGGCGAGUUAUAUAAUAUAAAUGUUGAUUAUAUCUGACUUAGAUCCUCCUAAACAUUUGAUUAUUUGAAUGUUCUGAAUGAAUGAGAAUCGUUUAUUUACAUUUGUUUGAUAGUUACAUUACAUUUGUUGGGUGUGUUUGUGUGGGGCCCUGCUAUAGGCUAAUGCCUCUUCAGGGUUGAAUGUUCUAAUUAUUAAAUGAUAUUUUAUUUUAA